AGAUCCUCCAUCUGCUGGUUCACUCCCCAGAUGGCUGCAACAGCACAGGGCUGGGCCAGGCCAAAGCCAGGAGACAAGCACUUCAUCUGGGUCUCCCACGUGGUUUCAGGGGCCCAGGCACUUGGGCCAUCUUCCACUGCUUUCCCAGGUGCCUUAGCAGGGAGCUGGAUUGGAAGUGGAGCUUCUGGGACUCAAACUGGUGCUCAUAUGGGAUGCCAAUACGGCAGGCAGUGGCUUAACCUGCUUUGGGCACAAUGCUGGCCCCAGCUUCCUUUCCAUGUAGGCCACUGCCUCAACUGAAAUAUGAGAGCUCUUCAAAGAAUUUGCAGGGAAAUAUUUAUUAUGGAAAGAAAUAUGCAUGGAUUUCAACAUUUUUUUGCACCAAAAUAAGCUUAUUUUUAAUUCAAUUUUUCCAUGAACAGUUUGGAAUACUCAUAUUUGUUACCUUUUCUGACACUUCUACAAUAGCUACUUUAUUUUUCCAUUGGUCUCCAUGCCUUUCUCCCAACCUCUAUUUUUACCCUGCCAUCAAAGUGAAUUUUUAGAAGAAAAGAAGAUGGAUCAUAUGACUGUCACACACGGAGUGAGGGGCAUCUGGAAUGCAAGGAACUUCACACACUGUAGAUUGCCGCUGGGGUCUCAGCCACCCACAGCAAAAUCUCCAGCCACGUCCUCUCCCCUCGGGGUAUUCUGUACUUAGGCCACAUUAGAUUAUCCAUCAUUUCUGAACUUUCCGUAUGUAUUGGCAGCUUCUUCCCUUUGCACGUGCUGUGAUCCCACUUGGGCAGCCCCUAAAGCUCAUGGUUAGGGCUAGGGUGGAGGCAAGUGUCCAGGUGUAGAAUUCAAGGGGGCAUCUGUCCUCCACAUCGUGCAAGUGCUGUGGUUCUGCUCCAAGAACUGCUAAUCCAGUAGUCAAGGCCGCGUUCAUACGUUGCCUGUGUCCUUAGCACAGUGGAAAGACUAUGUGGUAACAAUUGUUAUCUUUCCAAAUUUCUAGAGAGAGGAUUUUGAAUGUUUUCAACACAAAGAAAUGACAAAAGCUUGACAGUUUGAAGUGACAGAUAUGGCACUUACUCCAAUUAUUAAACAUCACUUACAUGUAUUGAAAUAUGGCACUCCAGGGGUCAGUGUUGUGGUGGAGUGGGUAAAGUUGCCACCUGCAGUGCUGGCAUCCCAUAUAGGUGCUGCUUUGAGUCCUGGUUGCUCCACUUCAGAUCUGGCUCCCUGCUAAUGCACCUAGGAAAACAGUAGAGGAUGGCCCAAGUGUUUGGGCCCCUGCACCCACAUGGAGAGCCAGAAGAAGCUCCUGGCUCCUGGCUUCAGUCCGGCCCAGCCUUGGCUGUUGCAGCCAUUAUGGGAGUAAACUAGAAGAUUGAAGGUUCUCUCUCUGUCUCUCCCUCUCUCUGUAACUCUGCCUUUCAAAUAAAUAAAAAAGUCUUAAAGAAUAGAAAUAUGUUAUCCCAUAAAUAUGCACAAUAACUAUGUGUCAAUUAAAAAUAAAAAAUAAAAUAGAAUAAACUGCUUAGGAAUAAAUUUGAAAAAAGAGAAAGGGAUUUAAGCUGUGCUGAAUACCAUAGCCAGGGGACAGGAACUGUUUGUGCACCACUGCAGCUUAGCAUCCAGAACAGUACCUAGCACAUAGCCUGUGUUUUACAAAUAUUUGGUGAAGACAUGAAUGAAUGAGUAGAUACUGAGCUUCCUGGUGGCAGAGAAUAAGUCAUGUUCUUCUAUUGCUGCCAUCUCGUAAGUAAAUCAUAUUAGACUUUUUUUUUUUGGACAGGCAAAGUGGACAGUGAGAGAGAGAGAGACAGAGAGAAAGGUCUUCCUUUGCCGUUGGUUCACCCUCCAAUGGCUGCCGCAGCUGGCGCACUACAGCUGGCGCACUGCGCUGAUCCGAAGGCAGGAGCCAGGUACUUCUCCUGGUCUCCCAUGGGGUGCAGGGCCCAAGCACUUGGGCCAUCCUCCACUGCACUCCCUGGCCACAGCAGAGAGCUGGCCUGGAAGAGGGGCAACCGGGACAGAAUCCGGCGCCCUGACUGGGACUAGAACCCGGCGUGCAGGCGCCGCAAGGCAGAGGAUUAGCCUAUGAGCCGCAGCGCCGGCCCAUAUUAGACUUUUAAAACAUUUUUGUUGAGUGAGUGAAUGAAGUGACUGGCCUAUUUAGUUCUGUCCAGGACUUGGGAAAUUUCUGAGUGAACCUUCCUCUUAAAACAUACUUGUGGGGUCGGCGCUGUGGUGCAACUAGUUAAAGCCCUGGUCUGCAGUGCUGGCAUUCCAUGUGGGUACCAGUUUGAGUCCCGGCCGCUCCACUUUUGAUCCAGCUCUCUGCUGUUGCCUGGGAAAGCAGUAGAAGAUGGCCCAAGUCCUUGGGCCCCUGUACCCGUGUGGGAGACCUGGAAGAAGCUCCUGGCUCCUGGCUUUGGGUCAGCAUAGCUCCAUUCAUUGCAGCCAUCUGGAGAGUGAACCAGUAGAUGGAAGACUCUCUCUCUGCCUCUGGCUCUCUAUAACUCUGCCUUUCAAAUAAAUACAUAAAUCUUAAAAAAAAAAAAAACCCACUUGUUGCUUGUGCUGUGGUGCAGCUGGUUAAGCCACUGACGGCAGCAUUGACUUCCCAUAUGGGCACCGGUUCAAGUCCCUGCUGCUCCACUUCUGAUCCAGCUCACUGUUAACACACCUGGGAAAGCAGCAGAAGAUGGCCCAAGUGCUUGGGCCUUGCACCCACAUGGAAUACCCAGAAGAAGCUCCUGGCUCUUGGCUAGUUUGGCCCAGCCCUGGCCAUUGUAGUCAUUUGGAGAGUGAACCAGCAGAUGAAAGAUAUCUCUCUCUCUCUCUCUCUCUCUCUCUCUCUCUCUCUGUUGCUGCUUCUCUCUCUGUAAUCCUGACUUCCAAAUAAAUGAAUAAAAUCUUAUAAAAACCAACCCACAUGUUGCCUGCUUGCUUCCAGUCUCCUCGUCCUGAGGUUUCCCCACAGGGUGUGGGUGCUGUUGGAGUGAGACUAUGGGAACCUGCUGGCCUUCAAAUCCCUGGAACCUUCAACCCAGAGGCUGAUUCCACUUUCCUGAGGCAAGAUCCAGGAAUCCACAUUUUUACAGAAUCCUCAUGUGGUUCUGGUAAUUGAUGCUGGUUCACUCCCCAAAUGGCCGCAAAGGCAUUAUAGCACCAGCAAUCUACUUGUGUUUUUCUAGUUAUUCACAUGAACUUCUAAAAGAUUUACUUAUUUAUUUGAAAGGCAGAGUUACAGAGAGGGAGAGGCAGAGGCAGAGACAGAGAAGUCUUCCAACUGCUGGUUCAUUCCCCAAGUGACAGCAACGGCUGGAGCUGGGCUGCUCUGAAGCUGGGAUCCAGGAGAUUCUUCCAGGUCUCCCAUGCGGCAGGGUCCAAGGUCAUCUUCUACUGCUUUCCCAGGCUUUCACAGAGCUGGAUCAGAAGUGGAGCAUUUGUGGCACAGCGGGUUAAAGCCCUGGCCUGAAGUGCUGGCAUCCCAUAUGGGCACCAGUUCUAGUCCCGGCUGUUUCUCUUCCAAUCCAGGUCUCUGCUAUGGCCUGGGAAGGCAGUGGAAGAUGGCCCAAGUCCUUGGGCCCCUGCACCCACGUGGGAGACCCGGAAGAAGUUCCUGGCUCCUGGCUUCAGAUUGGCGCAGCUCCGGUCGCUGUGGCCAUCUAGGGAGUGAGCCAUCAGAUGGAAGACCUCUCUCUCCGUCUCUACCUCUCUCUGUAACUCUGUCUUUCAAAUAAAAAAAAAAAAAUCUUAAAAAAAAAAAGUGGAGCAGCCGGGACUUGAUCUGGUGCCCAUAUGGGAUUCCAGCACUGCAGGCGGUGGCUUUACCUGCUGUGCCACAGUGCUGGCCCCCUCGUGUGAGUUUUUUAAGAAUCGUGAUUGUGGGGUUGGUGCUGUGGCGUGGUGGGUAAAGCAACUGCUUGCAGUCCCGGCAUCCCAUAUGGACACCGGUUCAAGUCCUGGCUGCUCCACUCCACUUCUGAUCCACUCUCUGCUAUGGCCUGGGAAAGCGGUAGAAGAUGGCCUGGGUGCUCGGGCCCCUGCAUCUGUAUGGGAGACCUGGAAGCAGCUCUUGGUUUCAGAUUGGCUCAGCACCGGCCUUUGCGGCCAUUUGGGGAGUGAACCAGCAUAUGGAAGACCUCUCUCUCUCUCUCUCUCUCUCUCUCUCUGGCUCUGCCUUUCAAAUAAAUAAAUAAAUCUUAAAAAAAAAAAAAAGUAUAGUGAUUGUGACAUGGUGUAACCAGGCAGUUAGUUAAAGUUUAGGCGAGUUGGAGUUCUUGUAUACCUGUAACGUGACCCUGUCCCUUUAACUGUUGAUGUGAUACACCCACCUUCCCAGGGUGCAUCUCUCGCAUCUGGGACCAGAGGCCUGCUCCAUUGUGUCUCCAGUUGGGAUACCACCUCUUUCCUUAUAAAAAGAAGUGGAAGACAGAAGAUGGGAGACGGCUCGCUCUCUCUGCCGGGACCCCGUCUGGAGGGCUGGAGACGCUGCUCCCAUUCUCGCUCUUUCUACAACGGAACGCACUUGACCUAUUGCUCUUGUUUGCACCUGGACGGCCUCCGAUGGACCUGUCCCGCUGUCCUCUACCACUCCUGGACGGCUCUUCCCAAUUACAGGCUGCUGCUGUUUGACGUUAUUUUUGCUAAAAACAACUCAAGAGUCUUAGCAUGGAAGUGACAAGGCCUUUCUCGGUGUUGGCGGAGCCAGCCCUCGAGUACAUUUGAAGAAAAGAAGAGGUCAAAGACGCGACAGCAUGGUUCAUCACAACAAGGAUCACAAUCACCGCCAGCAUUCAGGAGCAGGAGGAUGGCUAAGAGAUUUAUGGUGCAUCCAUUUGAUGGAACACUGUGCGUACGUCCAGGUAGGGAAAGGUUUUUAGUUGAAAACACAGUUGCAAAACAAUGAAUAAAGCAUGGUAUCAUUUAUGUAAAAGAAAAAAACAACAUAUAUUGAAAAAGACUGGAAGAAUACACUUUAAGCAUAAAUGUGGCCCAUAUUGGGGAUAUGGGUAAGAAAGAGAAGGGAUCUUGGAGGCCCUUCAUAUUAUACAUAUGUGUUGCCUGAAUGUUUUACAGGGACGUAACCAUGUGUGACUUUUGUCAUAAAAGCAAAUAGAACAAAAUCCAAAGCAUUGUUCCCAGACCAUUAUUUUGUCCAAGGCCCAAGACGUUGUGAAUAAACACUCAGUAAACAAUAGCUAUUAUUAUUAUUUAUUAUUUUUACUGUAAAGACUGCUUUAGUGUAGCGAGGCAAAGUCACUUUGUUUUAGCUUGUGUAGAGAAUGUUUGGUUCCUUUAUCUGUGAUGUGGGGACUCUCUAGACAGAGCUGAAACUCACCCCAGGAAGGUUGGCCUCCGUUCUCCAGGCUCCGUUCCCUGCAGGAGCCCCCGGGCUGGGCCAGGUUAACCCCUUUUCUUUCCUGGUCCUUACUAUAAUUGUAACUGGGUGGUUAUUUGUGUCACUGUUUGUCUAAUGUGUCGACUUACAAUUUUCAAAAAGUUUAAAACAUGAUUUUCACCCAAAUGUAUAGUAAGUACCUGCCAAAGAUUUAUCCAACUUGGGAGACCUGCAACAAUGAUUGGCCUGAUUCAAAAGCAUUUGUCAGUUGGGAAAGCUGUGUGGAAGCAAGUGAGCACAGACACAAUGGGUUAAUGUUCUAUUGGCAGUAAAGUUAAUUCUGGAGUUUUCUUUUGUUCAGGUUUCUCCAUUGGACGAUGACUACAGCUGAUACCUAAGAGAAGCUACUUAGGAAGGAAGGAGGUUUAUUUUGGCUCUUGGUGGCUCUGGGAGGGAAUCGUUGGCGCUCUCUGACUGCUGUAUUCAAAAUCUUAUGUGUCCUUUGUGGGUAUGAAUGCCUCUUUCAGCUUAGAGCAAAUGUUCUGUGGCAGAAGGUCCUGUAAGGUACCCACACCUCCAGCCAUCCAUCCUUGGAAAUAUCGACUGCAGACAUAGAUAGCAAACGAACUACAGAAGAAGCUUAAAGUAGAGUUAUCUGUUCGCAAGGAGCAUGUACUUGGGAAGACAAAAUGCGGAAUGCAAGUUAAAUAUUAAUAAACUCAGUGGAAGUCUUAGUGCUGGAACUUUGCCAGCCUUAGUAUUCCACUCUGUGAAACACAGACACUGGACUGCAUCAUCUCGCGGGGGCCUUACUUUGAAUGUCUUGGCAUUCUGUUCAAGAUGUAAAAAAAGGAGCCAUGGGUAGUACUAGACUCUAAGCCACAGGGAAUAUGAAAUAUUAGAAAUCAGCCAAGAAAGAAUCCAACAUCACUUUGAGUGACUUGGAAAAUAUUUUUCCAAAUAUAGGGUAUACAUAUGAGGGUACUUCAAAAUGUUCAUGGAAAAAUGGAAUUAAAAAAUAACCUAUUUGACUGUCAAAAUAUUUCAAAAACUCAUAUGUAGUUUCUUCUAUGAAGUUUUUAAAGACCCUUGCUGUGCAUGGAUUUCAAAAAUAUUUACACCUAAAUAAACUUAUCUUUUAAUUUCAUUUUCCAUAAACUUUUUCAGAUGUCUCAUAGAUUCUUUUGAAUAUAAACUUGAGGAAGGUGGUUGGAUAUCACAUUUUUACAAAAAUCUCUGCUUAAAAGCAGGCAUUACCCAUGGAGAGAGAAUAGGAACAGAAAAUCAAUAAGUGAACUCUGGAAAGCCCACUUGCCAUCAGAGCAAAUAGCUGCUCUCCUCUCAAUGGGGCUCUCGACCCUUGGCUAAACAGUCAAACAAACAACCUCGGAACCAGCGCAAGCUGAGCAGUGUGGAGAGCUUUUGGCCCACUCGACUGGGCUAAAAGCCUGUGGACGAGUGCUCCCCGGCUUACAGGUGAGACAGGCAACAGAGGGAGCUGUGCUGGGGAGAAGUUAAAAGCAAAGGCGUGCAGGAACCAGGUUUUCGGCGAGACAGUCUUCGUUGUGAAGAGCCACUCUGAGUAAACUCUGUUUUUCAGUUCCAAAUCGCUGCAGCGGGAAGCUUCAG